AUAUAUGCAUAUAGAAGUGGUAAGCAGAAACUCAGGGUGUACAAAUACAAAAUACAUCUUUUGACUAUUACGUACCGUUCUUCUGCUCGACAAUGGCCAAGGAUGGACAACAGGAAGAAAGUGGCAAGCACCCAUCACAAACAGAGAGUACUCCACGUUCAGCAAAGAAGGGAAAUACAGUCUCAGUUGAUGAAGAUCACCAAAUAAAGCGUUCCUGUGUUCACGAAUGCCUCUUCAAUUUAUUCUGCUGUUUCCUCUGUGUUUCUUCUCCUGAUGUCAAGCCUAAAUAGGAGUUUGAUUUCAAGAUGGCAGCAUAUUACGCCGAUGGACAUUGCAUACAUUUUAAGCUUUCAAUUAAACCAUAUCUUGUACGCUGGUCUUGCUGCCUAAGAUAUCCACUUUGCUUGAGUGAUCUAUAAUUGUGUAAGUUUUGUCGGACAUUUAUCUGAAUCUUUGGGUCUCAAACUUCUGUUCUUGAGUAGAUAUGUUCCUUCAGAAAAUAACUUGAUGUAACAGAUACAUGCAUUUGCAUAUAUAGAAGGCCACUAUCCUAGUCGAUAUAUA